ACCUCGACCUCCCUACCACCGACCUCCGCGACGUCUCCACUCAUCGCUCACCAUCUUUCUUCCGCUAUCCCGUCUCCGCCCCCAGGCACCUCCCGGCUUCCCUAGCCUCCUCCCUCCACUCCUUCUCCUGUGACACCUCCCUUCGCCGCCUCACCGACGUGUGGCUCUUCCGCCUCCAGAACCUCACCAACCUCUCCGUUGUCGGCGCCGCCAUCUCCACCAGCAGCCCCGCCGUCGUCCUCUCCCAGAUGCGACGCCUCCGCCCGGCAGAAUCAAGCUUUUUGGCCGUCAUCAUCUCCACACUAUUUUUUUUUUUUGCCGAUCCGAUGUAGUUUUUGCCAUGAAACGGGGGAAAUCGAAGACAGAUGCGUCCAAGAAGUCAGAACAAGUGGUUGCUCAUUCAUGCUGGGAUUUGAUAAUCUUAGAAGCCAAAGUGUUGCUCCUCCUCAGUGGACAAUGAGAAACAAAGGUGACAGGUGAUUGCCUCCCAAACUACUCUGCGUCAGAGAUGGAUACAAGGAUAUGCUCUAUAAAGAAUGCACUCAUUUAUUCAUUUCCUCUUGUAGGAACCGCAUACUUCUAUGCAUUUUAAACAUGAGCAAGGAGAUAUUGGGACGUCUUCCAAAAGUUGUUGGGAUAGACAUAGUGGAGAUGGCUCUCUGGGCAAAGGUAUGUUAUGGGAAUUGGUGAAGCAGAAGCAUUUUCAGAAAGGUUAAAGAGGGAACUUCUGGCUUUAGAAGCAGCAAAUGUUCAUGCACUUGUUGAAUGUGAAUCCAU